rnacentral:rRNA from 1 species
UACAGAGGUCUCAAGCGUUGUUCGGAUUCAUUGGGCGUAAAGGGUGCGUAGGCGGAUAGGUAAGUCCGUGGUGAAAUCCUGCAGCUUAACUGCAGAACUGCCAUGGAUACUAUUUAUCUUGAAUGUCGUGGAGGUUAGCGGAAUAUGUCAUGUAGCGGUGAAAAUGCUUAGAUAUGACAUAGAACACCCAUUGCGAAGGCAGCUAACUACGCGAUAAUUGACGCUGAUGCACGAAAAGCGUGGGGAUCAAACAGG